rnacentral:rRNA from 1 species
GUAGUCCACGCUGUAAACGAUGAGUGCUAGCUGUUGGGAACUUAGUUCUCAGUGGCGCCGUUAACACAUUAAGCACUCCGCCUGGGGAGUACGGUCGCAAGAUUAAAACUCAAAGGAAUUGACGGGGACCCGCACAAGCGGUGGAGCAUGUGGUUUAAUUCGAGGCAACGCGAAGAACCUUACCAGGCCUUGACAUGGGAAGUAUGGACCUUAGAAAUUUGGUCCUUCAGUUCGGCUGGCUUCCACACAGGUGCUGCAUGGCUGUCGUCAGCUCGUGUCGUGAGAUGUUGGGUUAAGUCCCGCAACGAGCGCAACCCUCGUCCUCUGUUGCUAACAGGUAAUGCUGAGAACUCUGAGGAAACUGCCGGCGUUAAGCCGGA